UUGACCAAAAACACAGAGCCAAGAAGGAGUUCCCUUCAAGCCCUAAACUCACAAGAAUCCAACGAAAUCGAAGAUAAAUCAAGCUAAAAAUUGGGGCUUUUAAUAAAAUCGUGAUCACCAAGCUAAGGGGAUCACAAGUUUGACUCUGACAAGCUACGUAGGAGCUUGGAAAUGAUCGGGUCAAAUGGAUACAAGUUCAAGUAUGAAGCUCGCAAGGAUGCAAGGUGAACGUUAUGGGUCUCCAGAUGACGAUCAAGCGAAGAACAAGAACCGAACACAUGACUAAACAAAGCUUCCGCAUUUGAUCUUAUUUGUUUAUACAAAGUGUAUUAUGUAAACACUCUUAACUAUGUUUGAAUAUUUUAAACAUGUCUAAAUACUUUCAAUGUAAAAGUUUUUUUA